rnacentral:pre_miRNA from 1 species
ACUACAAUUGCUGGGCCAUAUUGAAUGCAUAGUCAGUGUAAGGAACUGCCAAACUACUUUGUACAGUGGCUGUUCCAUUUAUAUUCUUCCAAGUAAU